CUCUGCCGGUUGAGGGCACCGGCCUUCCUCCGGUGGAGCUCUGCCUUGUUCUGACACCAACAACAAGCACUGAUUACCUGCGUUGCGUUUGCGUGACGCAUCCACAGAUCCGACAGGGUUUGGAUUCCGCACAAGGGUUCUUCAACCCUUAAAUAGCCGCGUAUUCAAACUAGCCGAUCAUACGCUCCUUGCCUUCGUCACAUCCGUUCCAUCCAAGCAGUGUGGAAGAGGAAGUGAGAUUUGGCAGAUUACUGGUUCCGGUUCAAUCUUCUGAACCAACCGCGAAACCUUCGCCAAUCGAUGAUAUCCGUAAUGGAUUGUCUUCUUAUUCUCGCAGUCGGGGCAUCUCUGCCGGUUGAGGGCACCGGCCUUCCUCCGGUGGAGCUCUGCCUUGUUCUGACACCAACAACAAGCACUGAUUACCUGCGUUGCGUUUGCGUGACGCAUCCACAGAUCCGACAGAGUUUGGAUUCCGCACAAGGGUUCUUCAACCCUUAAAUAGCCGCGUAUUCAAACUAGCCGAUCAUACGCUCCUUGCCUUCGUCACAUCCGUUCCAUCCAAGCAGUGUAGAAGAGGAAGUGAGAUUUGGCAGAUUACUGGUUCCGGUUCAAUCUUCUGAACCAACCGCGAAACCUUCGCCAAUCGAUGAUAUCCGUAAUGGAUUGUCUUCUUAUUCUCGCAGUCGGGGCAUCUCUGCCGGUUGAGGGCACCGGCCUUCCUCCGGUGGAGCUCUGCCUUGUUCUGACACCAACAACAAGCACUGAUUACCUGCGUUGCGUUUGCGUGACGCAUCCACAGAUCCGAUAGAGUUUGGAUUCCGCACAAGGGUUCUUCAACCCUUAAAUAGCCGCGUAUUCAAACUAGCCGAUCAUACGCUCCUUGCCUUCGUCACAUCCGUUCCAUCCAAGCAGUGUGGAAGAGGAAGUGAGAUUUGGCAGAUUACUGGUUCCGGUUCAAUCUUCUGAACCAACCGCGAAACCUUCGCCAACCGAUGAUAUCCGUAAUGGAUUGUCUUCUUAUUCUCGCAGUCGGGGCAUCUCUGCCGGUUGAGGGCACCGGCCUUCCUCCGGUGGAGCUCUGCCUUGUUCUGACACCAACAAGCACUGAUUACCUGCGUUGCGUUUGCGUGACGCAUCCACAGAUCCGACAGAGUUUGGAUUUCGUCAGUCAGUGAUCUGUCUGGCCCUCAUCGACUCUGCCUUGUUGAUCAUCACUGAUUAUAGCCCACACGAAAAUCGACCCUUGAACUUGUUUGGAAUAAUAUUCCCUGUUGAAUAUCAUAGUCGAUGGAUUAAUUCUAUCGGUGUUGCAGUUUUGACCUAAACAAACGGCCCUUUUCAGGGCCACCAAUAUGUUAAAGAGUUGACGAAUAAAUAUAUUCCCUAGCAAAUAAAUUAUAAACCCAAAACUGCUGCACAAUAUCGUACCCUAAAUGUUACAAAUACGUAAUUAGAAAUUAUAAAUGUUGAG